rnacentral:ribozyme from 1 species
AAACAGAAAGAAGGGAAUGAAGAAGGAGAAACAGUAGAAAAAGAGAUAGCAAAACUUGUAGAAGAUGGUCUUGCUCUUCUUUCCACGCCUCCUCCUCCCUCUCUUCCCCUUUCUCCCCCUUCUCCCU